GGGAACUCUUGGGGAAUUUUUUUUAAUAGGGGACCUUUAAGACACGACACUGAAGACUUCUCAGCCACAGGCACGAUGGUGGUGGCCUUGAGACAUGUUGGAACAACGGCGGUGCUCAGUGAGAGGGAGUGAGUGAGAUCAACUGGGAGCUUGAAAAGAAAAGUCCAGUCACUUCCAUUCUAGUCUCUCCUCUGUUUUGCUCUUUUUGCCCGGAAAAGACCUGCAUCCCCCGCCCGACUCCUCUCGGCCGAUCGGCUUCCAUCCAGAGACCACGCCCAUGCGUCCCCACGACACCGGAGAAGGGCGCCGUCAUCCGAUCCUCUCAUUGGCCCGCGGCGAGGCGGGAAUUGCAGACAGCCCCGCCCACUGGCAAAUUCAUAAAAAAAAACACAACAAAGGAGGAAAACGCGUGGGGCUAAACGCGUGGGCCCCGAUCAACGCAGUUACACCGAGAUAAUUACAGAGAUAAAAACGUAGAUAUGGCUUAUUAAAUGUGUAAUUACUCGGGAGAAGGUGUAGGUGCAGCAGGUGUGUAACCCCCCCCCCCCGUCUCGUCUGAUACCCGUGACGUCACGCCGGGAAACCGGCGCUACACGCUGCGCUCCGGUCCUCCGUAAACAAGAGCGGCGAUGGUGGCGGGGAUGGCCGGCUCGGGAGGCGGCGCGCAUCUGGACGACGGAGAUGAAGAUAUUCCUCCACCGGAUCCAAAAGAUUGCUUGACUGAAAAUGAAAGCAGCAGUUCAGAUGCAUCAACUGAUGAGAGUUCAUCGGGAGAGGAAGACGAAGAGCAGGUGGAUGAAGAAGAAAGAACUACAGGUGAGUUCUGACCUAUGCUGCCGUUUCUGUCCUGUUUUUCAUAAUUUGCUUGAUCAAGCAAAUGAUUCUUGUGUUUCAGAAGGAGCCUCCUCCAAACCAGAAAACACAACCGUGGACGGUAACCGACUUCACACACAGAACAACAAUAUCUGUCAUCUGUUUUUAAUAUUUUGUCUCCUUUCUGAAUGCUGGUUGUUUCUAGCAGAAGAAUCAUGUUCUCAGUGCUCAGGACAUGGCCAGAACUCUGAGCAGAAAGUGGCUGACUGGGCACUGGAAUUAUGGGAAAUUUGACAUUAAUAUAAUCUUUUAUCUUUCCGUUUUCCACAGAAUUACCCACAACUCAUGGAAAUCACAAAGGCAUUUUGACUGGUAAAAUACUUGAAUGGACUUGUAAAAUUUUGUUUUGUGUGGCUGAUGAUACAUUCAGGUGGCCCUGAUACAGAAACUAAGCCAGAUUUGUACAUCCAAUAAUACAUUUGCACUGAUAAGCACUGAAACAUGGCACAUUGCACACUCAGCAUAUUUAUAAGUCUCCGUAGCGAAUGUGUCCUCUAAUGUUGUUGGUACUUUAUACUGUAGCACAAGUAGCUUAGUGAAGUAUUAGUCACAAAUCUGUCGAAGUUCAAGUAAAAAAACAUUACAUUGUACAAAUACUUGAUUCUAAUCAGUCUGUCCAUCCUUUCAGGUGUCAACCAUAAACUGGGCUGUGAAAAAUGCAAAGCCAAGCAGGUAGUGUGUGUGCGCUAGUAAUAUUGUUGGGACUUUUGAGUAGAUGUCUACAAGUUGUGUAAAGGUUUAGGAUUUGACAUUGUAACACUUUUGAACACCUAUCAGCCACAGUCUUGACAACACCAACAUUGUGGUCUGUCACAUUCCAAACCAUCUAGUCAAUAUAGUGGUGGACUUGCUGAGACUUAAUUUACAUUUACAGCAUUUAUCAGAGACCCUUAUCCAGAACGACUUAGAAUCAAUUACAGGGACAGUCCCCCUGGUGACACUCAGGGUUAAGUGUCUUGCUUAGGGACACAAUGGUAGGCUAGCCUACCAUCUAGCCUUGUUGCAGCUUGUGUCAGCACCUUUUCAAACUAUUUCUGGUACAGUACUGCAGUGUGCAUUAAUCUGCUGAAACAGGCAACUGCUUACAAUGAAUACUGUUGCCCUUUUAAAGUUUUUCCAUUGUGUCUUCUGACUUGUCUUGCAUUAAAUUUGUGCUGUGGAAUCAGAUUGCAUGAGUUUUUGUCACGACAGUGCGUUGCAGGGAGGACUCAUCAGGGGUUUAAUAAUGAGACAU
ensembl:lncRNA